AGGCAUUUUUAAUAACUUUUUGAGUUGCGCCAUCUCUUAAAGUUUAAAAACCGAAUUAAAUCUAAUAUACAGGGUGAAACAAAAGUAGCUAAUAAAUACGCCAUUUGAAAAUUAAAUCAAUUAAAUCAUAAUAGUAGCAGGGAAUGUAGAGAGGCGAAGAGUGAUAGAUAGAUACUAUAUAUAUAGAUACUAUAGAGGCCAGGAGAAAUUACAAAGAAGAAUGCAAGAAAAAGAAGGAGGAUCUUUUUGACACUUUCAAGUUAUACGAAAAUAUUAUCAACAUGAUCCCCCAAAAGAUUGUUUAUUCGGAUAUCAUCGG